UACGGGGGAGCAAGCGUUGUUCGGAUUUACUGGGCGUAAAGGGCGGGUAGGCGGCCACCGCAAGUCAGUUGUGAAAUCUCUGGGCUUAACCCAGAAAGGUCAACUGAUACUGCGGGGCUAGAGUGCAGAAGGGGCAACUGGAAUUCUCGGUGUAGCGGUGAAAUGCGCAGAUAUCAGGAGGAACACCAAUUGCGAAGGCAGCUCGCUGGGACGUUACUGACGCUGAGACGCGAAAGCGUGGGGAGCAAACAGG
rnacentral:rRNA from 1 species